rnacentral:rRNA from 1 species
AUUGAACGUUGGCGGCAGGCCUAACACAUGCAAGUCGAGCGGUAGCACAGAGAGCUUGCUCUCGGGUGACGAGCGGCGGACGGGUGAGUAAUGUCUGGGAAACUGCCUGAUGGAGGGGGAUAACUACUGGAAACGGUAGCUAAUACCGCAUAACGUCGCAAGACCAAAGUGGGGGACCUUCGGGCCUCAUGCCAUCAGAUGUGCCCAGAUGGGAUUAGCUAGUAGGUGGGGUAACGGCUCACCUAGGCGACGAUCCCUAGCUGGUCUGAGAGGAUGACCAGCCACACUGGAGCUGAGACACGGUCCAGACUCCUACGGGAGGCAGCAGUGGGGAAUAUUGCACAAUGGGCGCAAGCCUGAUGCAGCCAUGCCGCGUGUGUGAAGAAGGCCUUCGGGUUGUAAAGCACUUUCAGCGGGGAGGAAGGCGGUGAGGUUAAUAACCUCAUCGAUUGACGUUACCCGCAGAAGAAGCACCGGCUAACUCCGUGCCAGCAGCCGCGGUAAUACGGAGGGUGCAAGCGUUAAUCGGAAUUACUGGGCGUAAAGCGCACGCAGGCGGUCUGUCAAGUCGGAUGUGAAAUCCCCGGGCUCAACCUGGGAACUGCAUUCGAAACUGGCAGGCUAGAGUCUUGUAGAGGGGGGUAGAAUUCCAGGUGUAGCGGUGAAAUGCGUAGAGAUCUGGAGGAAUACCGGUGGCGAAGGCGGCCCCCUGGACAAAGACUGACGCUCAGGUGCGAAAGCGUGGGGAGCAAACAGGAUUAGAUACCCUGGUAGUCCACGCUGUAAACGAUGUCGAUUUGGAGGUUGUGCCCUUGAGGCGUGGCUUCCGGAGCUAACGCGUUAAAUCGACCGCCUGGGGAGUACGGCCGCAAGGUUAAAACUCAAAUGAAUUGACGGGGGCCCGCACAAGCGGUGGAGCAUGUGGUUUAAUUCGAUGCAACGCGAAGAACCUUACCUGGUCUUGACAUCCACAGAACUUUCCAGAGAUGGAUUGGUGCCUUCGGGAACUGUGAGACAGGUGCUGCAUGGCUGUCGUCAGCUCGUGUUGUGAAAUGUUGGGUUAAGUCCCGCAACGAGCGCAACCCUUAUCCUUUGUUGCCAGCGGUUAGGCCGGGAACUCAAAGGAGACUGCCAGUGAUAAACUGGAGGAAGGUGGGGAUGACGUCAAGUCAUCAUGGCCCUUACGACCAGGGCUACACACGUGCUACAAUGGCAUAUACAAAGAGAAGCGACCUCGCGAGAGCAAGCGGACCUCAUAAAGUAUGUCGUAGUCCGGAUUGGAGUCUGCAACUCGACUCCAUGAAGUCGGAAUCGCUAGUAAUCGUAGAUCGGAAUGCUACGGUGAAUACGUUCCCGGGCCU